rfam:Gossypium raimondii Chr04_contig_1316, whole genome shotgun sequence.
UGGGAGAAUCUGUAAAGCUCAGGAGGGAUAGCGCCUAAGCUAUUUCUUUCUUUCUUUCUUUUUUGCAGAAAUAUCAUCUGCGGCGCUAUCUAUCCUGAGUUUCAUGGGUUCUUCCU